CCUACGGGGGGCUGCAGUGGGGAAUAUUGGACAAUGGGGGGAACCCUGAUCCAGCCAUGCCGCGUGUGUGAAGAAGGCCCUCGGGUUGUAAAGCACUUUCAGUGAGGAAGAACGCCUGGUGGUUAAUACCCAUCAGGAAAGACAUCACUCACAGAAGAAGCACCGGCUAACUCCGUGCCAGCAGCCGCGGUAAUACGGAGGGUGCGAGCGUUAAUCGGAAUUACUGGGCGUAAAGCGCGCGUAGGUGGCUUGAUAAGCCGGUUGUGAAAGCCCCGGGCUCAACCUGGGAACGGCAUCCGGAACUGUCCAGCUAGAGUGCAGGAGAGGAAGGUAGAAUUCCCGGUGUAGCGGUGAAAUGCGUAGAGAUCGGGAGGAAUACCAGUGGCGAAGGCGGCCUUCUGGACUGACACUGACACUGAGGUGCGAAAGCGUGGGUAGCACACAGGAUUAGAUACCCUGGUAGUC
rnacentral:rRNA from 1 species